CCUGNAUCUAUGCGAUGGCCCGAGUCAUCUCCGGCGCAUGCGGCGCGGGAUCGAUUGGGGAAUAUUGGGCAAUGGAGGAAACUCUGACCCAGCGACGCCGCGUGCGGGAUGAAGGCCUUCGGGUUGUAAACCGCUUUCAGCAGGGGAAGAAGCGAAAGUGACGGUACCUGCAGAAAAGCACCGGCUAACUAUGUGCCAGCAGCCGCGGUAAUA
rnacentral:rRNA from 1 species